rnacentral:rRNA from 1 species
GAUGAACGCUGGCGGCGUGCUUAACACAUGCAAGUCGAGCGAAAAGGCGCGGAGUUUGUGGCGCGCACGUUUGGCGAGGAGGGGAGUGAAACGCGAGGAAAAUGUACUUAAAUGUGUGGGAAAAUUAGGGAAAACGGGCGCAUAUAGCAGAUGAUCUACUGAUGCAUGUGGUUGAUUAGAGAGUGUCGGCGGUAGGGGAUGUACUGGCUGCUUAUCAGCUUGAUUGGGUAGUAGGUGAGUACCAAGGCUUUGAAGGGUAGGCGGCAUGAGAGGGUUACCGGCCACCUUGGGACUGAGAUACGGAGCAGACUCCUACGGGCGGCAGCAGUGGGGAAUCUUGCACAAUGGCCGGAAGCCUGAUGCAGCAACGCCGCGUGCGGGAUGACGGCCUUCGGGUUGUAAACCGCUUUCGCCUGUGACGAAGCGUGAGUGACGGUAAUGGGUCAAGAAGCACCGGCUAACUACGUG